GCCUCGGCCCGGUGAGCGGGGUCAAACAGCAGCCAAUCAAUGACGUCAAUCUUCUGCUGGUCGUCCUAUGAGAGCAGAGGAAACGGUGACAGCGUCUGGCUGUGAUGCGUAAAACCUGCGUCGUCUCUGCGCCGCACCGUCUCCACCACCAGCCGGGUGAUCGCAGAAACGUCCAGACCUGAACACAGACGCUCAGUGUUAUUCAGAGAGCUGGCCGCCAGGGGGCGCUGUGGAGACCUCAAAGUGACAGGGAAGGUUUGCAACAACCGACCUGCUGCAGUUGCCAGCUGCAGGCAGCGGGGGCGCCGCUCCGGCUGGCUGACCGUCUCCAGGAAGGCGGCGUACUGGUUGGUGGCCAGCGCCGCAGG